rnacentral:rRNA from 1 species
UAAUACGUAGGCAGCGAGCGUUGUUCGGAGUUACUGGGCGUAAAGGGUGUGUAGGCGGUUUUCUAAGUCUGGUGUGAAAUCUCCCGGCUCAACCGGGAGGGUGCGCCGAAAACUGGGAGACUAGAGUGCGGGAUGGGAGAGUAGAAUUCCUGGUGUAGCGGUGAAAUGCGUAGAUAUCAGGAGGAAUACCGGUGGUGUAGACGGCUCUCUGGACUGCCACUGACGCUGAGACACGAAAGCGUGGGUAGCAAACAGGAUUAGAUACCCUGGUAGUCCACGCCCUAAACG